rnacentral:lncRNA from 10 species
GGCCAUUAUUCUGUCUGUCGCCUUGCCCAGUGUGAGUGCCAUGCGGAGGUGAUGGUGAGAAUGAAAAGUGAGAUAAUUACAUGUUGAAGACAAAUAACUAUGGUCUCUUGGUUUCAUUACACCUGAGCCGAAGAUGUCCUCUGAGUGCUCCAGGUUCAUGCAGUGUAUCUUACAGGACAACACAGUCCAGAUCCAUCUGUCUGCGGAGGGUUCCUCUGGAUUCUCCUGCAAACAGCCGCUGCUGGAAGGUGCCGCUGGGACGCAGGUCCGGAGCUGGAGCGUGGGACGUCAGCCUUGCUGCAGUGGCUCAGCUCAGAGCCUCCCAGCGCGGAGGGUGCAGGGACGAGGACGGAGUUUCGCUCUUAAGCUCAGCAUAGAGUGAAGUGGUGGGAUCUCGGCUCACUGCAACCUCCCCACCGCCGCUGGGUUCAAGAGAUUCUCCUGCCUCAGCUGGGAUUGCAGGGGUGCGCCACCAUGCCCAGCUAAUUUUUGUAUUUUCAGUAGAGACGAGGUUUCACUAUGUUGGCCAGGCUGGUCUCGAACUGGUCCAGGCUGGUCCUGACCUAAGGCGAUCCACCCACCUUGGCCUCACGAAGUGCUAGGAUUACAGGUGUGAGCCACUGCGCCCGGCCUUAAAUUUCUAUUUCUUUUAACACAUUAAUUCUACUUCUAGUGGCCCAGAAGCUUGAACCAAUAUGUAUGAAUAAUGCAUUACAUUUCCAUAAAAUCCAGACUAACCAGUUCAUUAAAAUAAGUUACAUCCAUCUUUAUUCAAAGGCAAUGAUGUCUGUGAUAUUUUGACCAAUGAAAAACAGGACAAUAGAAAAACUGCAAAUCCUGCAGCCCUAACUUACACUAUGGGUAUAUGUGUGGUUUAUAAGAAUAUCUCCUUUUAUAGAAUUUGUAAGAAUCUUCAUUUCUUAGACAUCUUCAUUUAUAAGAAUGUCUCCUUCAUAUGUGUAAGUACAAUGAAAGCAAACUGGAAAAAUAAAAUCCCAC